UUCCCAUGCACCCCCAGCCUCCUCGCCAGCAUGGCCAUUCAAGAAGCAGAAAAGGCCUUGACACUGUGCAAAUGCUGCUCAGUAAUAGCAAAAACAUCUCUAUAUUAUCAACACUGUUUUCAGCACAAAUCCGAAUUACAACCCCAUACUAGCCACUGAGAUUAACUCUACCCCAGUCAAAACCAGGACAGAAGAGACCCCAUUCACAGACCAGAAAGGGCACCUGGAAAUCAUGAGAGAACAAAGAAGAUUUUGAUUUCACUGCAGCUGAAGUCAGAGAAGCAAUAUACAGAGCUACAAGGAAGAAGAAACAACGCAGGCAGCUCUGCCGGCCAAUGAUAUACCAAAAGACCAAAAGACUUGGACUCGUUUGAAGAUUGUCAAGGGAUAUGAACCCAUACACUUAAAAGGACCUGCCUUUUGAACAGAAAACAAAAACAAGCCAUCCCUGUGAAAGGAAGGAAUAAAAGCAGCUUGACUGUGUUCUGACAGCAAAAUUAGACAGCAGACACAUAUAAAAGCCAAUAAGCAAACUGUGCAAGUCAAGAAAUAUGAUGUGCCCUGUAUUCUUUUAAUAGUUUAUUACUUAGCAGAUUACAUGAUAUUUGACACUGAUGCUUGAAAAGCCUCCUGCUGUUUAACAGUACUCUGCAAUAAAAUGCUGUAAUCUGUUAAUGCAUCA